GACGAACGCUGGCGGCGUGCUUAACACAUGCAAGUCGAACGAAGUGGCGAACGGAUGAGUAACGCGUAAUCAACCUGCCCUUAAGGGGGGGACAACAGUUGGAAACGACUGCUAAUCCCGCAUACUGAAGGAGGGGAUUGCGUCUGAUUAGCUAGGUGGCGGGGUAACGGCCCACAAGGGCGAUGAUCAGUAGCCGGUCUGAGAGGAUGAACGGCCACAUGGGGACUGAGACACGGCCCAGACUCCUACGGGAGGCAGCAGUGGGGAAUCUUCCGCAAUGGACGAAAGUCUGACGGAGCAACGCCGCGGGAGUGAUGACGGCCUUCGGGUUGUAAAGCUCUGUUGAUCGGGACGCGGUACCGAAAUAGAAAGCCACGGCUAUCUACGUGCCAGCAGCCGCGGUAAUAC
rnacentral:rRNA from 1 species